rnacentral:rRNA from 1 species
UACGUAGGUGGCAAGCGUUAUCCGGAAUUAUUGGGCGUAAAGGGAGUGUAGGCGGUUUGGUAAGUCUUCUGUGAAAUCUGCGGGCUUAGCCUGCAAAGUGCAGAGGAAACUGUCAGACUUGAGUAUUGGAGAGGGCAGGGGAAUACCCAGUGUAGAGGUGAAAUUCGUAGAGAUUGGGUGGAACACCAGUGGCGAAGGCGCCUGCCUGGCUGAUUACUGACGGCUGAGACUCGAAAAGCAUGGGGAGCAAACAGG